rnacentral:rRNA from 1 species
UACGUAGGGGGCUAGCGUUGCUCGGAUUUACUGGGCGUAAAGCGCGUUCAGGCGGUUGGUCAGUCGGGCAUGAAAUCUCCUGGACUCGAACCAGGACGGGGCUGUCCGAUACGUUCCAGACUUGAGGGCAGUAGAGGGUGGGUGGAAUUCCGGGAUGUAGUGGUGAAAUGCGUAGAUAUCCGGAGGAACACCUGUGGCGAAAGCGGACCACCGUGGACUGCACCUGACGCUGAAACGCGAAAGCUAGGGGAGCGAACGGGG